UCUCUGUGAAAUCUAAUUUAAAUAUUAGUACAAAGUUCUACAAGCAUAUACAUUACAAUAUUUGUACCAAGUACGUACUAAUCAAUAUUUCAGAAUGGCAUCAGCAGUACCAGUGCUUUCCAAAGAGGAAACCAAUUUUCUUAGAGUCGUUAACUUACUUAUAAGACUUUCUCCAAAGGCUGUUAGAAUCCUGUUCGAUAGAGAGUUUAAUCCCGGUGGAUUAAAAUCAAUCUUUUCAAAGAACUGGAAAAAGAAACAUGUUAUAACUCAGACGCAAUGGUGUUUAUUGUUUCCUUCGGGUGAGUAUAUUGUCUUUGUUGUACCAUCGUUCAUAAUACCUUUACACAUGUUACACGAGCUACACAUUUGCUACCAGCACACACUCGUAUUAAAUGUUCAUAUAUCAACACGGGUUAUACAUUUGACAAAUAAAUAAAUACCAAGGACAAAUUAUAUCGAACAGAAAUCAUAUGUACGAAAAUUUUG
rnacentral:lncRNA from 1 species